UACGUAGGAUGCAAGCGUUGUUCGGAAUUACUGGGCGUAAAGAGUACGUAGGCGGUUUGAAAAGUCUGAUAUUAAAGACUGGGGCUUAACUCCAGGAGUGUAUCGGAAACUUUCAGACUAGAGGACAAUAGAGGAAGUCGGAAUUCUCAGUGUAGCGGUGAAAUGCGUAGAUAUUGGGAAGAACACCAGUGGCGAAAGCGGACUUCUGGGUUGUUACUGACGCUGAGGUACGAAAGCGUGGGGAGCAAACAGG
rnacentral:rRNA from 1 species